CACACCCGUGCACCCAUUGUAGGUCUCCGCGAGGGGAUCUAUGUCUUCAUAAAACUCUACGUAUGUCUAGGAAUGUAUCUAAAGCGUCGACCGGCUUGGCUCGAUGCCUGGUCGGCGACGGUAAAGAACGAAAUACAACUUUCAGCAACGGAUCUCUUGGCUCUCGCAUCGAUGAAGAACGCAGCGAAUUGCGAUAAGUAAUGUGAAUUGCAGAUUUUCAGUGAAUCAUCGAAUCUUUGAACGCACCUUGCGCUCCUUGGUAUUCCGAGGAGCAUGCCUGUUUGAGUGUCAUUUAAUUCUCAACCAUCCCUCGAUUCGUUUCGAGGUUUGGCUUGGAUUUUGGGGGCUGCCGGGCGACCCUACGGUCUUCGGCUCUCCUUAAAAGCAUUAGCGACGGUGGAACGACCUAACUCCAUGCAUGAACGGCCUUCGACGUGAUAAUGAUCGUCGUGGCUGGAGUGCUAGCGGGCGUCGUGAAGCCGGCGCUUCUAAAUCUCUCG
rnacentral:rRNA from 1 species